GAUGAACGCUGGCGGCGUGCCUAAUACAUGCAAGUCGAGCGAACAGACUAGGUGCUUGCUCCUCUGACGUUAGCGGCGGACGGGUGAGUAACACGUGGAUAACCUACCUAUAAGACUGGGAUAACUUCGGGAAACUAGAGCUCAUUCCGGUUAAUAUAUUCAACCUCAUGGUUCAAUAGUUAAAGUCGGUUUUGCUGUCACUUAUAGAUGUUUCCGGGACGCUUUAGCUAGUUGGUAAGGUAACGGCUUACCAAGGCAACGAUGCGUAGCCGACCUGAGAGGGUGAGCGGCCACCCUGGAACUGAGACACGGCACAGACUACUACGGGAGGGAGCAGUAGGGAGUGUUACGCAGUGGGCGGGAUCAGGACGGAGCCAAGCCACGUGAGUGAUAAGGGUCUUGGGAUAGUAAAACUCUGUUAUUAGGGAAGAACGAAUGUGUAAGUAACUAUGCACGUCUUGACGGUACCAUAUCAGAAAGCAACGGCUAACUACGUG
rnacentral:rRNA from 1 species